rnacentral:rRNA from 1 species
CCUCGUGGCCAACCUCCCCCCGUGUUGACCGACUCCUGUUGCUUCGGCGGGCCCGCCCGGGCUCCCGCCCGGCCGCCGGGGGGCCUCGUCGCCCCCGGGCCCGCGCCCGCCGAAGACCCCUCGAACGCUGCCUUGAAGGUUGCCGUCUGAGUAUAAAAUCAAUCGUUAAAACUUUCAACAACGGAUCUCUUGGUUCCGGCAUCGAUGAAGAACGCAGCGAAAUGCGAUAAGUAAUGUGAAUUGCAGAAUUCCGUGAAUCAUCGAAUCUUUGAACGCACAUUGCGCCCCCUGGCAUUCCGGGGGGCAUGCCUGUCCGAGCGUCAUUGCUAACCCUCCAGCCCGGCUGGUGUGUUGGGCCGCCGUCCCCUCCGGGGGACGGGCCCGAAAGGCAGCGGCGGCGCCGCGUCCGGUCCUCGAGCGUAUGGGGCUUUGUCACACGCUCUGGUAGGCCCGGCCGGCUUGCUGGCCAACGACCUCACGGUCACCUAACUUCUCUCUUAGGUUGACCUCGGAUCAGGUAGGGAUACCCGCUGAACUUAAGCAUAUCAAUAAGUCGGAGGAAAUUACCGAGUGCGGGUCCCUCAAGGCCCAGCUCACACCGUGGUGAACCAACCCUGUAGCUUCGGCAGGACGCCAAGGCUCCGCGGCCCGUGGGAGUAUGGCCCCCGGACGCGCCGCCAAAGACCUCGAAAGCAGCUUUGAAAGGUUUGCCGUC